rnacentral:rRNA from 1 species
UGGGGGAUAUUGCACAAUGGGCGAAAGCCUGAUGCAGCGACGCCGCGUGGGGGAUGAAGGCCUUCGGGUUGUAAACUUCUUUUGCUCUGAACAAGGCGCACCAUGGGGUGUGUUGAGUGUAGGGGUUGAUUAGCGCCGGCUAACUACGUGCCAGCAGCCGCGGUAAUACGUAGGGCGCGAGCGUUGUCCGGAAUUAUUGGGCGUAAAGGGCUUGUAGGUGGCUGGUUGCGUCUGUCGUGAAAGCUCAUGGCUUAACUGUGGGUUUGCGGUGGGUACGGGCUGGCUUGAGUGCAGUAGAGGGGGGUGGAAUUCAUGGUGUAGCGGUGGAAUGCGCGGAUAUCAGGAGGAAUACCGGUGGCGAAGGCGGGUCUCUGGGCUGUUACUGACACUGAGGGGCGAAAGCAUGGGGAGCGAACAGG